GGCCCCGUAGUCUAUCGGCUAGGAUGCCACCUUGACAUGGUGGAGGGGGCAGUUCGAUUCUGCCCGGGGCCA
rnacentral:tRNA from 1 species